CCUGUCAAAAUACAUUAUCCCCAAAGCCACUGGGAUAAAUUUGUGACGUCAUCACAUCUGACUUGGGCUUACUCAGUUGAUUACCGUGACUUACCAGCCUUCUUGCCACUUACUAUCUCUAAUUUUUGGAAAAUCAGUUUCUACCGUUAGGCUCUCAGAAGACUCCUUCAUACUAACAACAGAGGAGAAUAGUCGAUCAGCCAAGAUAACAUGAGGCUCAGAAUAGUAUGUAAUUCACAGCUGUAGAUUCUCUGUUCAGCUUCAUGGCCUCUCAAAAGAGACU